UGGGCUGCUGUCAAGGGCUGCAGAGAGAACAUGCUGCUUUAUCGCGGGGUAUGUUCCAGUGGAGUGUGCGCUGUCUGCUGGAAAGUGGAGCAUGAUUAUGUUGUUCUCCAGUGAAAGUAUUUAACAGUAACAGAUCUUGGGCUGUCUGGAGCUCGGAGUUGGAGGACCGUGACUGGGGGAGCAGUAAUUUCCAUCUCUGAUGAGCUAUUACAGUCCAAGACUCCCUCUAAAUAACUUGCUUUGCCUUAUUAAAAAAA